CAAGCCAAGUUCUUUGCAAAAUCACUAAUGUUUAUACUGUCGCUUAAAAUACAGAAAAUGACGCAGUCGGUAAGUAACAUGAGUUUACAGCACAUCAGAGAAGAUAAAUUGCGUUUUGCUUUUCUUGUGAAAGAACACUACGAUUACACAUUCAGGGUUGCGAUAUCCUUGUUUUAUUCUGCCACGUGAAGUGGCCUCAGCGAAUAGUUUACACAUCUAAGCACAUAGAAAGCACACGUAUGAUUGUGCACGACACUCGCUUUAUAACUCAAGGAACACAUUGGUCUUGGUAGUUUAAGUAUCUUGAGAAGAUUUCCAAAAAAAACAAAUAGUGCACGACUGCAACUGAAGCAAAUGAAGGCAAAUCAUCCCGAAGGUUAAUGAAACUUAAUUCAGUGGAGGGAUUGCACAACAAAUGUAAACAUUUUUUCAAUUCAUAUUCACAGGAGAACUGGAGAGAUAGGAUCACCUGUAAAAAUGAUUGUAUCCUGAAUAAAGUAGACUUUGAGUCCCAUCUUAAUGCUACAAGCACAGAAUGGAAUAGAAGGGUGGCAACUCCUGAUUGUAAAAAGAUGAGGCAUGAUGGUGAUCAAGGAGAACCAUUGAGAAGCUCCUCCCCUCUACCUUAGAGCCAUAAUACAGAAAUUUGGUGAUGCCCAAAUGAAUAAGAGGUGGUCUCAAAUAAGGCUCUACUUGAAUAAAAAAAAUUGCUUGGAUUCCAAGAGAAAAGUUCAAGAUGUAGAGGGCAAUGUUGACAAGUCCGUGGAACUAAGGCUUGGUUGAUAUUUGUACAAAAUUGAAAUAUAUGCAAAUUUACUUGUCAAGUAGCUGUCAAAUUGACUAAAAUGCCAACUAAGAUGAGUGAUAGUGAGCUUUAAUUCUUUGAACACGUUUGCUGCAAUACAAAAUUUUGUUGUUUUUUUUUGUUUUCAUGCUUAAAUUAUUCUAAAAGAAGAAAAACCAUUGCAGUUUGAAUCAAACGAAGAACAAUUUAAAACUGGGACAUGCCUUUAGUUAUUAUGGCUUUUUUGUGCAAGGAUAACUAUGGUAGUUCAAAUCAAACUGUCAAAUGACUCCAACAAUUAAAACAAUUGUUUUUUUAAAUUUUUAAAACACACCAAAGGGAAGAACAAGAACUCUUCUUGUACAGUUGUCAUUUAAAUCGUGCAUGUUUACCAGUUAACGUUUCUUAUCAAGAUAUUUUUUAGUAAUUAA